CUUGCUUUGAGUUUGAAUCCCUACUUUCUCUCUCUAGACAGCCAACUUUCUAUCUCUAAUUUCUCUCUUCACUUUUUUUGUCUAAGAGAAUCUCACUUUCUCUCUCUAAAGAUGCCUCUCUUUUAGGAUUUUUUGGACCUUGGAAAGACCCUUUACUGUUGAUAGAUCCGAAUGAAUGGAUCUUGAUCAUCGACUAUUGGACAGUUAUCUAUCCCCAUCU
rnacentral:lncRNA from 1 species